rnacentral:lncRNA from 1 species
GAAAAACAAAAAUAAUUGGAUUGUGGCAAACUAUUUUCCUGUUUCAACAUUCCUUUUGGAUUAGGUUUUCGGUGAUGUAGACCACUAUGCCUAUUUGUUCAAAAGACAUAAAUGUGAAAUCACUGUUUUAUUGCAUUUAAAAUGUGUUCCUCCUCUUUUACCUCUUAUGGAGAGAGAAAAAAAAGUUUCAUUUUUCAUUUGUUCCCAAGUUUUUUUAAAAUUCUCAAGUUCUUCUGAUUUGUUUUCUAAUGGAUGUACCAAGACUGGUAACACAAUGGAAGAAACAAAAAUAGGAAGAGACUGAGGAAACAGCAGUGAAUGAAAAAACUUCACUUCUACAGAUCAGGCCUGUCCAGCAACGUUCAUUUCUACCUUCAGUCUGCUCAAGCUGCAGCUCUUCAAGAACUGCCCGGAGCACCUCCUGCCCUCCUUCUCCACUGACCGUGGUGUCUGCACAGCUGU